CAGUAGCGCGGGAAUACGUAGGGCGCAAGCGUUAUCCGGAAUUAUUGGGCGUAAAGAGCUCGUAGGCGGUUUGUCGCGUCUGCCGUGAAAGUCCGGGGCUCAACCCCGGAUCUGCGGUGGGUACGGGCAGACUAGAGUGAUGUAGGGGAGACUGGAAUUCCUGGUGUAGCGGUGAAAUGCGCAGAUAUCAGGAGGAACACCGAUGGCGAAGGCAGGUCUCUGGGCAUUAACUGACGCUGAGGAGCGAAAGCAUGGGGAGCGAACAGGAUUAGAUACCCCAGUAGUCCCUGUCUCUUAUACA
rnacentral:rRNA from 1 species